GGGUUGUGAGGUUAAGCGACUAAGCGUACACGGUGGAUGCCCUGGCAGUCAGAGGCGAUGAAGGACGUGCUAAUCUGCGAAAAGCGUCGGUAAGGUGAUAUGAACCGUUAUAACCGGCGAUGUCCGAAUGGGGAAACCCAGUGUGAUUCGUCACACUAUCGUUAACUGAAUACAUAGGUUAACGAGGCGAACCGGGGGAACUGAAACAUCUAAGUACCCCGAGGAAAAGAAAUCAACCGAGAUUCCCCCAGUAGCGGCGAGCGAACGGGGAGCAGCCCAGAGUCUGAAUCAGCUUGUGUGUUAGUGGAACGGUCUGGAAAGUCCGACGGUACAGGGUGAUAGUCCCGUACACCAAAAUGCACAGGCUGUGAACUCGAAGAGUAGGGCGGGACACGUGGUAUCCUGUCUGAAUAUGGGGGGACCAUCCUCCAAGGCUAAAUACUCCUGACUGACCGAUAGUGAACCAGUACCGUGAGGGAAAGGCGAAAAGAACCCCGGCGAGGGGAGUGAAAAAGAACCUGAAACCGUGUACGUACAAGCAGUGGGAGCACCUUCGGGUGUGACUGCGUACCUUUUGUAUAAUGGGUCAGCGACUUAUAUUCUGUAGCAAGGUUAACCGUAUAGGGGAGCCGCAGGGAAACCGAGUCUUAACUGGGCGUUAAGUUGCAGGGUAUAGACCCGAAACCCGGUGAUCUAGCCAUGGGCAGGUUGAAGGUUGGGUAACACUAACUGGAGGACCGAACCGACUAAUGUUGAAAAAUUAGCGGAUGACUUGUGGCUGGGGGUGAAAGGCCAAUCAAACCGGGAGAUAGCUGGUUCUCCCCGAAAGCUAUUUAGGUAGCGCCUCGUGAACUCAUCUUCGGGGGUAGAGCACUGUUUCGGCUAGGGGGUCAUCCCGACUUACCAACCCGAUGCAAACUACGAAUACCGAAGAAUGUUAUCACGGGAGACACACGGCGGGUGCUAACGUCCGUCGUGAAGAGGGAAACAACCCAGACCGCCAGCUAAGGUCCCAAAGUCAUGGUUAAGUGGGAAACGAUGUGGGAAGGCACAGACAGCCAGGAUGUUGGCUUAGAAGCAGCCAUCAUUUAAAGAAAGCGUAAUAGCUCACUGGUCGAGUCGGCCUGCGCGGAAGAUGUAACGGGGCUAAACCAUGCACCGAAGCUGCGGCAGCGACACUAUGUGUUGUUGGGUAGGGGAGCGUUCUGUAAGCCUGCGAAGGUGACCUGUGAGGGUUGCUGGAGGUAUCAGAAGUGCGAAUGCUGACAUAAGUAACGAUAAAGCGGGUGAAAAGCCCGCUCGCCGGAAGACCAAGGGUUCCUGUCCAACGUUAAUCGGGGCAGGGUGAGUCGACCCCUAAGGCGAGGCCGAAAGGCGUAGUCGAUGGGAAACAGGUUAAUAUUCCUGUACUUGGUGUUACUGCGAAGGGGGGACGGAGAAGGCUAUGUUAGCCGGGCGACGGUUGUCCCGGUUUAAGCAUGUAGGCUGGUUGUCCAGGCAAAUCCGGAUAAUCAAGGCUGAGGUGUGAUGACGAGGCACUACGGUGCUGAAGUAACAAAUGCCCUGCUUCCAGGAAAAGCCUCUAAGCAUCAGGUAACAUUAAAUCGUACCCCAAACCGACACAGGUGGUCAGGUAGAGAAUACCAAGGCGCUUGAGAGAACUCGGGUGAAGGAACUAGGCAAAAUGGUGCCGUAACUUCGGGAGAAGGCACGCUGGUGUGUAGGUGAAGUCCCUGCGGAUGGAGCUGAGACCAGUCGAAGAUACCAGCUGGCUGCAACUGUUUAUUAAAAACACAGCACUGUGCAAACACGAAAGUGGACGUAUACGGUGUGACGCCUGCCCGGUGCCGGAAGGUUAAUUGAUGGGGUUAUCCGUAAGGAGAAGCUCUUGAUCGAAGCCCCGGUAAACGGCGGCCGUAACUAUAACGGUCCUAAGGUAGCGAAAUUCCUUGUCGGGUAAGUUCCGACCUGCACGAAUGGCGUAAUGAUGGCCAGGCUGUCUCCACCCGAGACUCAGUGAAAUUGAACUCGCUGUGAAGAUGCAGUGUACCCGCGGCAAGACGGAAAGACCCCGUGAACCUUUACUAUAGCUUGACACUGAACAUUGAGCCUUGAUGUGUAGGAUAGGUGGGAGGCUUUGAAGCGUGGACGCCAGUCUGCGUGGAGCCAACCUUGAAAUACCACCCUUUAAUGUUUGAUGUUCUAACGUUGGCCCCUUACCGGGGUUGCGGACAGUGUCUGGUGGGUAGUUUGACUGGGGCGGUCUCCUCCCAAAGCGUAACGGAGGAGCACGAAGGUUAGCUAAUCCUGGUCGGACAUCAGGAGGUUAGUGCAAUGGCAUAAGCUAGCUUGACUGCGAGCGUGACGGCGCGAGCAGGUGCGAAAGCAGGUCAUAGUGAUCCGGUGGUUCUGAAUGGAAGGGCCAUCGCUCAACGGAUAAAAGGUACUCCGGGGAUAACAGGCUGAUACCGCCCAAGAGUUCAUAUCGACGGCGGUGUUUGGCACCUCGAUGUCGGCUCAUCACAUCCUGGGGCUGAAGUAGGUCCCAAGGGUAUGGCUGUUCGCCAUUUAAAGUGGUACGCGAGCUGGGUUUAGAACGUCGUGAGACAGUUCGGUCCCUAUCUGCCGUGGGCGCUGGAGAAUUGAGGGGGGCUGCUCCUAGUACGAGAGGACCGGAGUGGACGCAUCACUGGUGUUCGGGUUGUCAUGCCAAUGGCACUGCCCGGUAGCUAAAUGCGGAAGAGAUAAGUGCUGAAAGCAUCUAAGCACGAAACUUGCCCCGAGAUGAGUUCUCCCUGAGACUUUAAGUCUCCUGAAGGAACGUUAAAGACGAUGACGUUGAUAGGCCGGGUGUGUAAGCGCAGCGAUGCGUUGAGCUAACCGGUACUAAUGAACCGUGAGGCUUAACCUUACAACGCCGAAG
rnacentral:rRNA from 2 species